rnacentral:lncRNA from 1 species
AGCUGAGCAAGCAGAUAAUCUUUAGCAGUUCAUGAUCCGUUCCCUUCGAUUCUGCAACAUUAAUCUAAAUCAACUAAUUAAAAUCAAGCAUUCUUGAUAAUUUUGGUCAUGGAUGAGUAGUGAAACCUUAGCUGCAACACUUUGUGGAUCUUUGGAUUCUGCUACAGCCUUGGGUUUCGCUUUCUCUCCCCUGCAACAACCAACCAAAAUUCAAUUACCUCUCUCUUUAAACUCCAACGAUUCCAACAGGCCUAUAGAACGCGGUGCUGCGUGUUCUAGCCUGGAGGCGUGCGGCGGCUGAUGGAGCAGAGCGGCGUGCGGCGGUGCUUGGGUGCAGAGCGGCGGGCGACGCUAGGCGGGCUACGCGCUAGGGUGCUCAGCGGUGAGCGGCUCCAGGGUUUCGAUCCCUAGUGAAAAGGUGAAAGUGGAGAUGGAAUUAGCGUGAAUUACACUUAGGUUAAUUAGUAGUGGAAGCCAGAGAGUUUUGGUGGGGAUGUGAAG